AUGAAACCAAAACCAAAUUUAAAAAAAAGACGAAUGACAAUGAAUAUGUUAUUGCACAAGUUAUUUUCCUGUGUAAGUGUGAGAGACAGAGAGGGAGGGACCUCACUGACCUAUAUCUGGCUGGCACGGGAGGAGGAAGAAACACUUCUUUGCAGCUUGACUCAAAACUGUUUCUACCUCACGGUUGGAUUCAUGAAGCAACUCCUGUCUGCCAUCCUGUCUGUUCAGACAUGUAUUCUACAAUCCUGCUGAUUUUACUUCUAUCUGGUAAGGUAUUUAUUUUGCUAUUCACUCAUUCCCUGAUAGCACAAUAUACUGUAACUAGACACAAUAACUGGUUUGACCUGUUUCAGUUGUAGUAUAUGUAAUAUAUUGGUUUUAUUGUUUCUGUAUUAAAUAUGUCUAUGUGAAUAGAAUAGAAAUAGUAACAUAUUUUGAUUUUGAAGUUCUGAAUUUAACUUUGAUUAAAAAAAAAACAUUUGUAAAUUUAUUAUUUAAAUGAUCUAUUAUCUUUUAGAUAUUAUCAUUUGUGUCACCGGCUUUCUCUGUUGCUGUUACCUGGAUGCUCAUAUUAACAUUACAGCAUGAUGUUAGCAAAACAUCAGCCAUGUAUCUCAGCUUACUUCAGAAGAUUAAGUGCUCCUUAUUGGGUUUAGAAAACUGUCCUACUUCUUAAGCUGAAUAAACAUGAGAAAGGANNNNNNNNNNNNNNNNNNNNCCGAGGACAAAAUACAAUUAAAUCCUUUUUUUUCUUUUGAGAAUAGUGGCACCAAAAAUCAGCAAAUACAAACAGUUAUCUGCCUUCAAAAUAAAAAAAUUAAACCACUUGAAAUGCUUAAACACCCCUCCCUAUCUUUAGGGGGAGACAGCAGCUCGGCACUGUGUGUGUUUUUAUAAUCACACAUCUGUUAUAAAUGUGAAAGAUAACAGUGUCUAAGGCUUAUAACAUUAUAAUGAAAGUAUAUAAUGGCCAUUGCCAGACUCUCCUGAGUUUCUGCAGCAGUUUUUGGGUUUAUUACCAUUUUUUGCACACAUAUUUGGUGCGCAGUGUAGCUGACUUUGACCCUUCUUUAACAAAUAGUUAAAAUCCCUCCAAAAUACCACCCUUAGACUCCAAGACCUUGAGGAACACCAUAGGAAAAUCAUGCUGUUAGUUGGCAUUAGACCCUUUUGACUGAAUUUUCUGCAAUUUGCUUCUGAUUUUAUUUACUGUACUGUUUUAGUGAUUUAAUAUAUAUUUUUAUCUAAAUGAAGAAGGUAUUUAAAAUAUGUCAACAGUGUAGUUUUAGGGGUUUGUCUUAGAAACUUACAAAGAAAGUAAAAACACUUUUAGUCCUUUAAUGCAAAACAGAGUAACACAUCCAGAACAGUCAGACCAAAAAGAUUAUCCGCAGCUUUCAUGUUUUAUUCAACAUUUUGAACAGUGACAUUAUGUAACCAUACAUAAAGAUAAAUUCCAUAAAGAUACACUACAAGUGCAUAAUAAUUUAACAACAUAAACCUGGGGCUUGAGAGGAAUAAAUAAGAAGAAUAAAGGGGUUGCUUUCACUUUAUUUUAUUUUAUUUUUUUAAAGUUAGCUUUUUCUUGUUGUUCUUAUGUUGGUCUUCUUUUUGUGCUACACAUAGCUGAGUGUUCCUGUGUUUGGAACUAAAGCAUUUAGUUGGCUGAUAUUGUUACCUUUGGACAGAUCUAAGCUACAUUUCUCCCCCCGGUUUCAGCCUAAGCUAAGCUAACCAGCUGCUGGCUGUAACUUCAUAUUUAGAAGGCAGACAUGAAAGUGUGAUCAAUAUUCCCAAAGUACAUUUACUAACACUGUUAUUCUAUUAUUCUUACCAUUUUCAUCACAAAAUGUUAUUCCAGUCAAAAACACAGUCCAAAAUCCAUAGUAGAAAAUCCAAAUGUCCUUAUCAUGCCUUUGUGCCUGUUCCUCUCAAAUCAAACUGGCUUCAUAGCCGUCAGUGAUAGUCAUAUAUGAGAUUGCUGUUGCCCACGCCUGAUGUGAACUGAAACGGACCCUCAGUCAUAGUGGAAGUAUUUCUGAGAUUCAAUGAUCUGACUGUUUGCACUGGUCUGGUCUGACAGUGGGGGAAUUUCUAAAUAGGUGUUAUUGCUAUUUUUCCGAGAAAUGUAAAUUAUUUAUCACCUUGCUGUCUGUGUCAGAGUGAAAUUAUAGUUAUGAUGCUUUUGCUUUACAUCAACAUCCAGCCCAACCACAUGCUUUACCGAAAGUCUUACCGCUGAGUUCUUCAA
rnacentral:lncRNA from 15 species